GUGCCAGCCGCCGCGGUAAUACGGAGGGUGCAAGCGUUGUCCGGAUUUAUUGGGUUUAAAGGGUGCGUAGGCGGCCCGUUAAGUCAGUGGUGAAAUCCCAGGGCUCAACCCUGGGACUGCCAUUGAUACUGGCGGGCUUGAGUUCGGUCGAGGCGGGCGGAACUGGUGGUGUAGCGGUGAAAUGCAUAGAUACCACCAAGAACCCCGAUUGCGUAGGCAGCUCGCUAGGCCGAAACUGACGCUGAGGCACGAAAGCGUGGGGAGCGAACAGGAUUAGAUACCCCAGUAGUCC
rnacentral:rRNA from 1 species